rnacentral:rRNA from 1 species
CUGGGCGUUAAGUUGCAGGGUAUAGACCCGAAACCCGGUGAUCUAGCCAUGGGCAGGUUGAAGGUUGGGUAACACUAACUGGAGGACCGAACCGACUAAUGUUGAAAAAUUAGCGGAUGACUUGUGGCUGGGGGUGAAAGGCCAAUCAAACCGGGAGAUAGCUGGUUCUCCCCGAAAGCUAUUUAGGUAGCGCCUCGUGAAUUCAUCUCCGGGGGUAGAGCACUGUUUCGGCAAGGGGGUCAUCCCGACUUACCAACCCGAUGCAAACUGCGAAUACCGGAGAAUGUUAUCACGGGAGACACACGGCGGGUGCUAACGUCCGUCGUGAAGAGGGAAACAACCCAGACCGCCAGCUAAGGUCCCAAAGUCAUGGUUAAGUGGGAAACGAUGUGGGAAGGCCCAGACAGCCAGGAUGUUGGCUUAGAAGCAGCCAUCAUUUAAAGAAAGCGUAAUAGCUCACUGGUCGAGUCGGCCUGCGCGGAAGAUGUAACGGGGCUAAACCAUGCACCGAAGCUGCGGCAGCGACGCUGAUGCGUUGUUGGGUAGGGGAGCGUUCUGUAAGCCUGUGAAGGUGUGCUGUGAGGCAUGCUGGAGGUAUCAGAAGUGCGAAUGCUGACAUAAGUAACGAUAAAGCGGGUGAAAAGCCCGCUCGCCGGAAGACCAAGGGUUCCUGUCCAACGUUAAUCGGGGCAGGGUGAGUCGACCCCUAAGGCGAGGCCGAAAGGCGUAGUCGAUGGGAAACAGGUUAAUAUUCCUGUACUUGGUGUUACUGCGAAGGGGGGACGGAGAAGGCUAUGUUGGCCGGGCGACGGUUGUCCCGGUUUAAGCGUGUAGGCUGGUUUUCCAGGCAAAUCCGGAAAAUCAAGGCUGAGGCGUGAUGACGAGGCACUACGGUGCUGAAGCAACAAAUGCCCUGCUUCCAGGAAAAGCCUCUAAGCAUCAGGUAACAUCAAAUCGUACCCCAAACCGACACAGGUGGUCAGGUAGAGAAUACCAAGGCGCUUGAGAGAACUCGGGUGAAGGAACUAGGCAAAAUGGUGCCGUAACUUCGGGAGAAGGCACGCUGAUAUGUAGGUGAAGCGACUUGCUCGUGGAGCUGAAAUCAGUCGAAGAUACCAGCUGGCUGCAACUGUUUAUUAAAAACACAGCACUGUGCAAACACGAAAGUGGACGUAUACGGUGUGACGCCUGCCCGGUGCCGGAAGGUUAAUUGAUGGGGUCAGCGCAAGCGAAGCUCUUGAUCGAAGCCCCGGUAAACGGCGGCCGUAACUAUAACGGUCCUAAGGUAGCGAAAUUCCUUGUCGGGUAAGUUCCGACCUGCACGAAUGGCGUAAUGAUGGCCAGGCUGUCUCCACCCGAGACUCAGUGAAAUUGAACUCGCUGUGAAGAUGCAGUGUACCCGCGGCAAGACGGAAAGACCCCGUGAACCUUUACUAUAGCUUGACACUGAACAUUGAGCCUUGAUGUGUAGGAUAGGUGGGAGGCUUUGAAGUGUGGACGCCAGUCUGCAUGGAGCCGGCCUUGAAAUACCACCCUUUAAUGUUUGAUGUUCUAACGUUGACCCGUGAUCCGGGUUGCGGACAGUGUCUGGUGGGUAGUUUGACUGGGGCGGUCUCCUCCUAAAGAGUAACGGAGGAGCACGAAGGUUGGCUAAUCCUGGUCGGACAUCAGGAGGUUAGUGCAAUGGCAUAAGCCAGCUUGACUGCGAGCGUGACGGCGCGAGCAGGUGCGAAAGCAGGUCAUAGUGAUCCGGUGGUUCUG